GUAGGUUAUGGCGACAUGCACCCGGUGACCAUAGGGGGCAAGAUUGUGGGGUCGCUCUGUGCCAUCGCUGGGGUCUUGACCAUUGCUUUGCCGGUCCCCGUGAUUGUUUCCAAC
rfam:Ailuropoda melanoleuca scaffold1552_6, whole genome shotgun sequence.